CACAUAAGAUCUGCAGAAGCUGGCUGACAGACUGCAGGAGAUGCUGGAAGCUGGAGACGGUCAGCACCCUGCCCAGACCCAAAGAGGUGCUCAAAGAUGAGCUUUCUGAUUAAUAUCCAUGGAAAUGACUUAGCACAAUCACUUGUGCUUCAUCCAGAUGCUAGACUUGGGAACAUGGCAGUGCUGUGUCUACAAGAAACCUGUCCUUCAUGGUCUUGCCAAUGCUGAUGGCCUCAGUGAUUCUGUUGAUACCGAUACAGAUUCUACCACUCCCGUAGCUCUUCCUGAGGAAUACCUUCAAGUUUUUAAAUCUUGUUCUCCUAAAUCAACAGGGCUGGAAACUUGGAGGAUUUCCCCAGCUGCAGAUUCUCUUUGAAAAAGGGAAUGUGUCUGCCUGCUGUCUUCUGCACCACCACUCUCCUGGCCCUGGCAUAUGGGACAUAGCACUUUCUAAACACAGAGGAAGACGCUGAUCCUGCCCUGAAGAGCAUCCAGCAUAAGAAAACAAAAGACAAGGUUCCCAUCACUAACUUCAAUCAUUCUGUGCAAUGACCCUGCUUGGCUUUGCAGCAUCUGGAUAGUAUUUUGAAACAUACAUUGUAU